ACAAGAUCCACCCAUUGAAUGUUAGUCAAAACAGGCGGGCAAACAGCUUCGCCGUCAUGGUUAGGUGCAAUGGAUUAGAAUCAUGUACCUACAAUCUCACCUCUCCAGGAUACUGGAUUAUGUUCUGAAUGGAGCUUCAGUAUCAAUACGCCUUGAGAGUAUACUUCCAGAAAGCUUGCUCCAAGUCGACUAUCAGUAGUGUGGCUAGAACUGUCAUUAAGCUCUGAAACAAUGGAUACCAAAAAGCAGCAGUGAAUGAUGGGAGUGGUUGUAGACCAGACACUAGAAACAGCAGCACAAAGAAGGCAUCUGAAAGAAGUGUCAUUGAUGGUACGGUAAUCUGAGGAUCGGCUGCUUGUAGAUUGCCACUGAGGAGAAUUUAUCCCAGAUAACCACUCAAGAUACAGGGACCAAGAAUCUUGACAAAACUGUGAAACAUCAUCAAUCUGUAAUUAUUGAAUUAAAUUUUCUGCUUGUGUAAAUGUAUAUAUGGCAUAAAACAAGUUUCCUUAAUAAACAAUUUAU